rnacentral:rRNA from 1 species
UACAGAGGGUGCGAGCGUUAAUCGGAAUUACUGGGCGUAAAGCGCACGUAGGUGGCGACGUAAGUCGGGUGUGAAAGCCCCGGGCUCAACCUGGGAAUUGCAUUCGAGACUGCAUUGCUGGAGUACGGAAGAGGAGGGCGGAAUUCCCGGCGUAGCGGUGAAAUGCGUAGAUACCGGGAGGAACAUCAGUGGCGAAGGCGGCCCUCUGGUCCAGUACUGACACUCAAGUGCGAAAGCGUGGGGAGCAAGCAGG